UUUAGUAGCUAUGCCGUCCUGGUUGUGCCUGACUUCAUCUAAUCUUGGUAGUGAAGGUCUGGUUGGUACUUGGAUGGGGGACCACCUGGGAAUACCAAGUGCUGUAGGU
rnacentral:rRNA from 1 species